rnacentral:rRNA from 1 species
GUAAGGAAUAUUGGACAAUGGCCGCAAGGCUGAUCCAGCCAUGCCGCGUGCAGGAAGACGGACCUAUGGUUUGUAAACUGCUUUUGAACUAGAGAAAACCCCUUUACGUGUAAAGGGCUGAUAGUAUAGUUAGAAUAAGCAUCGGCUAACUUCGUGCCAGCAGCCGCGGUAAGACGAAGGAUGCAAGCGUUAUCCGGAUUCAUUGGGUUUAAAGGGAGCGUAGGCGGACUUGUAAGUCAGUGGUGAAAUCUUUGGGCUUAACCCAGAAACUGCCAUUGAUACUGCAGGUCUAGAGUACAGUUGCCGUUGGCGGAAUAUGACAUGUAGUGGUGAAAUACUUAGAUAUGUCAUAGAACACCGAUUGCGAAGGCAGCUAACGAAGCUGUAACUGACGCUGAGGCUCGAAAGUGCGGGGAUCAAACAGGAUUAGAAACCCCAGUAGUCC